CGGCGGCUGUUAAAACCGGCGCGCGGGUUCCCAACUUCGCAGAAGCAGUUCAUCGGCCCUCCGCUGGAGACCUCAGACCGCAGCCAUCGACGCCCCGCCUCGGGGGUCUGUCCCCACCCUCGGGGCCAGCUUCUUCGGUAGUCACUUCGUACAUAGUGAUUCAUGAUGCGAAGUCCCUCUGUUGAAAUAACUGACGAGGCCUCUGUCUUCUGACUGUACUCUGACUUCCAUGCUCUUUCCACCCUCACUCGAGUACAUGCCCAGUCCCCAAUCUGUGGUGCUCCAGGCGUUGCCUCUGUGGCGCUGUGUCCCCUCCUUUGAACUCUGAUCCUUCUGCUCAGGCCCUUUCUCCCAGUCUGAAGUAAGGAGUGAAAAAAUGUGAAUUAUUCUACUCAUCUGGAAAAGAGAACCCUGAGGCAGGAACAAGU
rnacentral:antisense_RNA from 1 species